UACGGAGGGUGCAAGCGUUGUCCGGAUUUAUUGGGUUUAAAGGGUGCGUAGGCGGUCUGGUAAGUCGGCGAUGAAAGCCCGGGGCUCAACCCCGGAACUGUCGUCGAUACUGUCGGACUUGAGUACGGUUGAGGCUGGCGGAAUGGGCGGUGUAGCGGUGAAAUGCAUAGAUACCGUCCAGAACCCCAAUUGCGAAGGCAGCUGGCUAAGCCGUAACUGACGCUGAGGCACGAAAGCGUGGGGAGCGAACAGG
rnacentral:rRNA from 1 species